UACGUAGGGUGCGAGCGUUAAUCGGAAUUACUGGGCGUAAAGCGUGCGCAGGCGGUUAUGUAAGACAGUUGUGAAAUCCCCGGGCUCAACCUGGGAAUUGCAUCUGUGACUGCAUAGCUAGAGUACGGUAGAGGGGGAUGGAAUUCCGCGUGUAGCAGUGAAAUGCGUAGAUAUGCGGAGGAACACCGAUGGCGAAGGCAAUCCCCUGGACCUGUACUGACGCUCAUGCACGAAAGCGUGGGGAGCAAACAGGAUUAGAUACCCUGGUAGUCCACGCCCUAAACGAUGUCAACUGGUUGUUGGGUGCAUUAGUACUCAGUAACGAAGCUAACGCGUGAAGUUGACCGCCUGGGGAGUACGGCCGCAAGGUUGAA
rnacentral:rRNA from 1 species